CCUAUUGAAACAGGUGACUGACAGUGAGCAGAGCGCGCUGUUAGAAGAGUCUGCUUGUCCUGGCCGAUGCUGCACGCUAAACAUGGAUUUUUGAAAGAAACUUUAAACGAUGAGUGCAUAAAUCUUAUCUUUCUGACAAAAGUGAUUAUACCAAAACCGGGCCGAUGUUAGUUGAACGCUAAAAAUGUAGUGUUAAUAUGCCAGUUGACUUUUUUUUUUCUUUUUUCUGUCGGUUCACAGAUUAGCUAACGUUAACAUUUAAAUUAGCUGUUUCUGUCAGGUUACAGUUUAUAACGUUAGCCAGUGUGUUUCUGUAUGUUCACAGUUUAGUUAUAACGUUUGCAUUUUGCAUUCGUUGUUUUUUUUCUGUCUGUUCAUAUCAGCAUGUGUGAAUGUACGCUUGUGGCUAACGCUAGCGUAUGUCUCUUUGGUGUAUUAUUAUGGAAGGUCAGACUCAAGAGCCAACCGAUAUUAAGUCACUGGUGCUCAGAGGGCUCCAGACUGUCCUUGGUGACAACCCCACGAACUUCUUCAAAGCAUGGUUUGACUCCGAUGAUGAUCACUCAUUUCGCCACCUUGACUUUGGGAUCCCCUUGUUGAGCACGAAGGUGCUGUGCUCCCAUCUUCCCUUCAUCUCAAUCCAGCUUCAAUUAAGAUCAUCAUUGAGGGAGAAGUUGUGAUGGAAGGUAUUAAAGACUUGCCAAAAGCUGUGUACAUUCUCUUUGGACUUGCAUAUGCACUGUAUCUCAACUAACCCAAAUCAAUGAAGAACACAUUCCAGUUCACCCAAGUUCUUCUCAUGUUGGGCCACAGUGAACUAAAAUCCAGCUUACAAAAAUAAAAAAUAAAAAACAGCUUACAAUUUGAUUUUCACAAAGGAAUUGUGAGAAGUUUCCAUGACUGUUUUUUGUUCUCAAGAAGGGUGAUGUGAAUCUUUGAACAGAUUCUUUUUCAGAUUGUCCAGUCACUGCAAUAAGUGCUCUAAAGUUUACCAGUGUUCUGCGCUAAAAGUGUACUGUAUGUUUAAAACGGCAUAUUGUUGCUCUAUUGAUACGAGUUAUGUUGUCAACAGUUGGAGUGUGCGUGUGUGGUCUUUUUCUUUAAUCUUUAAUUUUCAUUCAGUUUAAUGCUUGUCUGCAUAUUGUAUACUAUAUUGAAUACUGUGUUCAUUUUCCUCUAAACAAUUUACAAUUGUUAAGCAAAAAGAUUUGCUUAUGCAAAAUUUUUUUACUUGUCCUUUUGGUUGACGAGUACAUUGAAGUGUUUAAAAAAACUAAAUAAUAAUAAAAAAAAACAAUAAAAUUCAUAAAAAAAAACA